rnacentral:rRNA from 1 species
AUUGAACGCUGGCGGCAUGCCUUACACAUGCAAGUCGAACGGCAGCACGGGAGCAAUCCUGGUGGCGAGUGGCGAACGGGUGAGUAAAGUAUCGGAACGUGCCCAGUCGUGGGGGAUAACGUAGCGAAAGUUACGCUAAUACCGCAUACGAUCUAUGGAUGAAAGCGGGGGAUCGCAAGACCUCGCGCGAUUGGAGCGGCCGAUAUCAGAUUAGGUAGUUGGUGGGGUAAAGGCUCACCAAGCCGACGAUCUGUAGCUGGUCUGAGAGGACGACCAGCCACACUGGGACUGAGACACGGCCCAGACUCCUACGGGAGGCAGCAGUGGGGAAUGUUGGACAAUGGGCGAAAGCCUGAUCCAGCCAUGCCGCGUGCAGGAUGGAGGCCUUCGGGUUGUAAACUGCUUUUGUACGGAACGAAAAGGUUUGGCCUAAUAAGCUGAGCUCAUGACGGUACCGUAAGAAUAAGCACCGGCUAACUACGUGCCAGCAGCCGCCGUAA